GCCUGGGUGGCUCAGUCGGUUAAGCGUCUGACUUCGGCUCAGGUCAUGAUCUCACGGUCUGUGGGUUCAAGCCCCACAUUGGGCU
rnacentral:tRNA from 1 species